rnacentral:rRNA from 5 species
AAAUUGAAGAGUUUGAUCAUGGCUCAGAUUGAACGCUGGCGGCAGGCCUAACACAUGCAAGUCGAACGGUAACAGGAAGCAGCUUGCUGCUUUGCUGACGAGUGGCGGACGGGUGAGUAAUGUCUGGGAAACUGCCUGAUGGAGGGGGAUAACUACUGGAAACGGUGGCUAAUACCGCAUAACGUCGCAAGACCAAAGAGGGGGACCUUCGGGCCUCUUGCCAUCAGAUGUGCCCAGAUGGGAUUAGCUUGUUGGUGAGGUAACGGCUCACCAAGGCGACGAUCCCUAGCUGGUCUGAGAGGAUGACCAGCCACACUGGAACUGAGACACGGUCCAGACUCCUACGGGAGGCAGCAGUGGGGAAUAUUGCACAAUGGGCGCAAGCCUGAUGCAGCCAUGCCGCGUGUAUGAAGAAGGCCUUCGGGUUGUAAAGUACUUUCAGCGGGGAGGAAGGUGUUGUGGUUAAUAACCGCAGCAAUUGACGUUACCCGCAGAAGAAGCACCGGCUAACUCCGUGCCAGCAGCCGCGGUAAUACGGAGGGUGCAAGCGUUAAUCGGAAUUACUGGGCGUAAAGCGCACGCAGGCGGUCUGUCAAGUCGGAUGUGAAAUCCCCGGGCUCAACCUGGGAACUGCAUUCGAAACUGGCAGGCUUGAGUCUUGUAGAGGGGGGUAGAAUUCCAGGUGUAGCGGUGAAAU